GGGUGAUAGCUACAAAGGUUACAGCGACGUAGUUGUUUCGUGAUAACUCAUUGAAGACUCAAGAUGUGUGCACCUUUUUCUAGGACCUCAAGAGUAGACUUUUGAUGUUGGGAACCACAUGAAGUUCUGCCUUCAGUCACAGAGAAAAUUGACAGGCUGGAAAACAGACCCUCACAUCCGUGAGAUGGGUCCCACCAUCAGACCAGCUGCUAUGAAUUUAAUAUUUGUAAAUAAAUCACAUUGAUGUGUAUUGUAUGUUAAAA